AUUGGUACGUCUGUAGACCAAGA
rnacentral:piRNA from 1 species